AAUAGAUACCCCGGUAGUCCACGCCGUAAACGUUGGAUACUAGGUGUGGCGGUUAUACCAAUGACUGCCGUGCCGAAGCUAACGCAUUAAGUAUCCCGCCUGGGGAGUACGGCCGCAAGGCUAAAACUCAAAGGGAUUGACGGGUCCCCGCACAAGCGGCGGAGCAUGCGGCUUAAUUCGAUGCAACCCGAAGAACCUUACCUGGGUUUGACAUCACGGGAAAAGCUGUAGAAAUACAGUGUCCAUUAGGGCCCGUGACAGGUGGUGCAUGGCUGUCGUCAGCUCGUGUCGUGAGAUGUUGGGUUAAGUCCCGCAACGAGCGCAACCCUUGUCCUAUGUUGCCAACGGUUCGGCCGGGGACUCAUAGGAGACUGCCGGGGAUAACUCGGAGGAAGGUGAGGACGACGUCAAGUCAUCAUGCCCCUUAUAUCCAGGGCUGCACGCAUGCUACAAUGGCCGGUACAACGGGCAGCGACCCCGCGAGGGUGAGCGAAUCCUAAAAAGCCGGUCCUAGUUCGGAUUGAGGUCUGCAACUCGACUUC
rnacentral:rRNA from 1 species